rnacentral:misc_RNA from 1 species
AAGGAUCAUUACCGAGUGCGGGCCCUCUGGGUCCAACCUCCCAUCCGUGUCUAUCUGUACCCUGUUGCUUCGGCGUGGCCACGGCCCGCCGGAGACUAACAUUUGAACGCUGUCUGAAGUUUGCAGUCUGAGUUUUUAGUUAAACAAUCGUUAAAACUUUCAACAACGGAUCUCUUGGUUCCGGCAUCGAUGAAGAACGCAGCGAAAUGCGAUAAUUAAUGUGAAUUGCAGAAUUCAGUGAAUCAUCGAGUCUUUGAACGCACAUUGCGCCCCCUGGUAUUCCGGGGGGCAUGCCUGUCCGAGCGUCAUUGCUGCCCUCAAGCACGGCUUGUGUGUUGGGCUUCCGUCCCUGGCAACGGGGACGGGCCCAAAAGGCAGUGGCGGCACCAUGUCUGGUCCUCGAGCGUAUGGGGCUUUGUCACCCGCUCCCGUAGGUCCAGCUGGCAGCUAGCCUCGCAACCAAUCUUUUUAACCAGGUUGACCUCGGAUCAGGUAGGGAUACCCGCUGAACUUAGCAUAUCGAUAAGCGGAGGAA